GGGGAAUAUUGCGCAAUGGGGGAAACCCUGACGCAGCGACGCCGCGUGAGCGAAGAAGGCCUUCGGGUUGUAAAGCUCUGUUGUAAGGGACGAAGGAGCUGGGUAGUAACUGACCUGGCGGUGACGGUACCUUACCAGCAAGCCCCGGCUAACUACGUGCCAGCAGCCGCGGUAAGACGUAGGGGGCGAGCGUUGUCCGGAAUUACUGGGCGUAAAGAGCACGUAGGCGGGUAUUUAAGUCAGGUGUGAAAGACCGCGGCCCAACUGCGGGGUUGCACUUGAAACUGAAUAUCUUGAGGGCAGGAGAGGUCAGUGGAAUUCCUGGUGUAGCGGUGAAAUGCGUAGAUAUCAGGAGGAACACCAGUGGCGAAGGCGACUGACUGGACUGACCCUGACGCUGAGGUGCGAAAGCGUGGGUAGCAAAC
rnacentral:rRNA from 1 species